CAAGACACCACUGUAUUGUUAUUGCGGUAGACGGCAGGGUAGCCUAGUGGUUAGAGUGUAGAGGCGGCAGGGUAGCCUAGUGGUUAGAGUGUAGAGGCGGCAGGGUAGCCUAGUGGUUAGAGCGUUGGACUAGUAACCAGCAGGUAGCCUAGUGGUUAGAGCGUUGGACUAGUAACCAGCAGGUAGCCUAGUGGUUAGAGCGUUGGACUAGUAACCAGCAGGUAGCCUAGUGGUUAGAGCGUUGGACUAGUAACCAGCAGGUAGCCUAGUGGUUAGAGCGUUGGACUAGUAACCAGCAGGUAGCCUAGUGGUUAGAGCGUUGGACUAGUAACCAGCAGGUAGCCUAGUGGUUAGAGCGUUGUCCUAGUAACCAGCAGGUAGCCUAGUGGUUAGAGCGUUGUCCUAGUAACCAGCAGGUAGCCUAGUGGUUAGAGCGUUGGACUAGUAACCAGCAGGUAGCCUAGUGGUUAGAGCGUUGGACUAGUAACCGAAAGGUUGCAAGUUCGAAUCCCCGAGCUGACAAGGUACAAAUCUGUCGUUCUGCCCCUGAACAGGCAGUUAACCCACUGUUCCUAGGCCGUCAUUGAAAAUAAGAAUUUGUUCUUAACUGACUUGCCUAGUAAAAUAAAGGUAAAAAAAAGACUAUUGUUACCAGUGUAUGUACGCUGUUUGUAUGCCUGAAACCCGCUCUGCCAAGUAUUGUGUAAAAACAUUUUUUUUUUUUAAGUGAAAUUAUAGAUAUAGUGAGUUGAGUGAGUGAGUUGAGUUGAGUUGAGUUGAGUUGAGUUGAGUUGAGUUGAGUUGAGUUGAGUUGAGUUGAGUGAGUUGAGUGAGUUGAGUGAGUUGAGUGAGUGAGUGAGUGAGUGAGUGAGUGAGUGAGUGAGUGAGUGAGUGAGUGAGUGUGAGGGUGUAUGACACAGAUUCUUCUGGGGACGACAACUUGUGGGUGUGUCAUUUCUCCUCUUUCCCAGCAGGAAGUGUGCCAUAUUUAAAUGUUCACCCUCAAUUGGUUGUGUUGU